rnacentral:rRNA from 1 species
UACGGGAGGCAGCAGUGGGGAAUAUUGCACAAUGGGCGAAAGCCUGAUGCAGCUAUGCCGCGUGUAUGAAGAAGGCCUUCGGGUUGUAAAGUACUUUCAGUCGUGAGGAAGGUGUUAAGGUUAAUAACCUUAGCAAUUGACGUUAGCGACAGAAGAAGCACCGGCUAACUCCGUGCCAGCAGCCGCGGUAAUACGGAGGGUGCGAGCGUUAAUCGGAAUUACUGGGCGUAAAGGGCACGCAGGCGGUUAAUUAAGUUGGAUGUGAAAUCCCCGGGCUUAACCUGGGAAUGGCAUUCAAGACUGGUUAGCUAGAGUCUUGUAGAGGGGGUAGAAUUCCAUGUGUAGCGGUGAAAUGCGUAGAGAUGUGGAGGAAUACCGGUGGCGAAGGCGGCCCCUGGACAAAGACUGACGCUCAUGUGCGAAAGCGUGGGGAGCAAACAGGGAUUAGAUACC